GACGAACGCUGGCGGCGUGCUUAACACAUGCAAGUCGAACGGAAAGGCCCUGCUUUUGUGGGGUGCUCGAGUGGCGAACGGGUGAGUAACACGUGAGUAACCUGCCCUUGACUUUGGGAUAACUUCAGGAAACUGGGGCUAAUACCGGAUAGGAGCUCCUGCUGCAUGGUGGGGGUUGGAAAGUUUCGGCGGUUGGGGAUGGACUCGCGGCUUAUCAGUUUGUUGGUGGGGUAGUGGCUUACCAAGGCUUUGACGGGUAGCCGGCCUGAGAGGGUGACCGGCCACAUUGGGACUGAGAUACGGCCCAGACUCCUACGGGAGGCAGCAGUGGGGAAUAUUGCACAAUGGGCGGAAGCCUGAUGCAGAAACGCCGCGUGCGGGAUGACGGCCUUCGGGGUGUAAACCGCUUUCGCCUGUGACGAAGCGUGAGUGACGGUAAUGGGUAAAGAAGCACCGGCUAACUACGUG
rnacentral:rRNA from 1 species